rnacentral:rRNA from 1 species
UGUACAAAGGUAGCAUAAUCAUUUGUCUCUUAAUUAGAGUCUGGAAUGAAUGGUUUGAUGAAAAAUUUACUUUCUUUAUUUUAAAAAAAUAAAUUAAUUUUUUAAUUAAAAAGUUAAAAUUUUAAUAUAGGACGAGAAGACCCUAUAGAACUUUAUUUUUUUAUAGAAACAUAAUUUUGGUUAUGAGUUUUUGUUUCUAAACAAAAAUUUUAUUGGGGUGAUAAAAAAAAUUUUAUAACUUUUUUUAUUUUUAUCAUUUAUGUAUGAUUUUUUUGAUCCUUUAUUAAGGAUGAAAGACUAAGUUACCUUAGGGAUAACAGCGUUAUUACUUUGGAGAGUUCUUAUCGAUAGAGUAGUUUGCGACCUCGAUGUUGGAUUAAAAUAAGUUUCAGGAGUAGAAAAUUGAAGCUCUAGGUCUGUUCGACCUUUAAAUUUUUACAUGAUCUGAGUUCAAACCGGAGA